rnacentral:rRNA from 1 species
CGGGUGAGUAACACGUGGUCAACCUUCCCUACAGUGGGGGAUAACUAGCCGAAAGGUUAGCUAAUACCGCAUACGAUCUACGAGUGGCAUCAUUUGUAGAUGAAAGGAGCAAUCCGCUGAAGGAUGGGAUCGCGUCCCAUUAGUUCGUUGGUGGGGUAACGGCCUACCAAGACUCCGAUGGGUAGCUGGUUUGAGAGAGCGACCAGCCACACUGGGACUGAGAAACGGCCCAG